UACGGAGGGUGCAAGCGUUAUCCGGAUUCACUGGGUUUAAAGGGUGCGUAGGCGGGCAGGUAAGUCCGUGGUGAAAUCUCUGAGCUUAACUCAGAAACUGCCAUGGAUACUAUUUGUCUUGAAUGUUGUGGAGGUAAGCGGAAUAUAUCAUGUAGCGGUGAAAUGCAUAGAUAUGAUAUAGAACACCAAUUGCGAAGGCAGCUUGCUAAACGAUCAUUGACGCUGAGGCACGAAAGCGUGGGGAUCAAACAGG
rnacentral:rRNA from 1 species